rnacentral:rRNA from 1 species
GCUGUUUUUAUAGCGGGAGUUCAUUUCGAGAACGCAGUGAAGCUGCUGACGAGCGGCGGACGGCUGAGUAACGCGUGGGAACAUACCCCAAACUGAGGGAUAACUACUCGAAAGAGUGGCUAAUACCGCAUGUGAUCUUCGGAUUAAAGGAUUUAUCCGGUUUGGGAAUGGCCUGCGUACGAUUAGAUAGUUGGCGAGGUAAAGGCUCACCAAGUCGACGAUCGUUAGAUGGUUUGAGAGGAUGAUCAUCCAGACUGGGACUGAGACACGGCCCAGACUCCUACGGGAGGCAUUUGUAGGGAAUCUUUCACAAUGGGCGAAAGCCUGAUGGAGCAACGCCGCGUGCAGGAUGAAGGCCUUCGGGUUGUAAACUGCUUUUAUAAGCGAGAAUUAUGAUGGUAACUUAUGAAUAAGGAUCGGCUAACU